UACGUAGGGUGCGAGCGUUGUCCGGAAUUAUUGGGCGUAAAGAGCUCGUAGGCGGUUUGUUGCGUCUAUCGUGAAAACCUGCAGCUUAACUGUGGGCUUGCGGUGGAUACGGGCAGACUUGAGUUCGGUAGGGGAGACUGGAAUUCCUGGUGUAGCGGUGAAAUGCGCAGAUAUCAGGAGGAACACCUGUGGCGAAAGCGGCGCACUGGACCAUAACUGACGCUGAGGCGCGAAAGCUAGGGGAGCAAACAGG
rnacentral:rRNA from 1 species